GUAACCUGCAAUUCUGGCAGCAUGAUUCCUCUCAUCUUUGUCUUGCUGGCCGCCUUCGAGGCCACAAGCUUGGAUCGGCCUGGCCAUUCUGUGCUUACACCUCCAAUCCUGGCAUAAUAGGCAUUGUCAUAGCACCUGCAAGAUUGAGUGGAUUAUAGAUCAAAUUUCAAUGGUGUUUCAAGAUAAGCUUGCAUGAACAAUCUGCCGAAACUAUACCGCUGGUACUCACUCAUCAUCCAAGAACUUUGCAGCUACCAUGAUGCUUGUGAUCAGAAGACGGUGUACAUUCAGGGAGGUAAGA